UUACAGCUCCGACCAAACGAAAGAUGGUUUUACCAUUCUCCUCCUGGGAAAACCUAAUGAAAAUGUGGAACUCCUAGAUCAAGCCCUGUUUCUAGUACAGGCCAAAGUCAAUGUACCUCAGGUCCUUCUUCUGCAACCAACUGAAGGAGCGGCCACCCCUUUCCCACGCAGUCAAAUAAAGACAAUCGUCCUGGACCAAUCGACCCUGGACAAAUACAUCCCCAGGCGAGAAACGAAUUACAGUCAUGCUCAAUGGGUAGCCUUCUACAAGG